UGUUGGGGUAGGAAUUACCGAGUUAUUGUCCAGCGGAACGGAAUGUGAACGCUGGAAGGAAGUAUUAGCUGCUUGAUAAUUUCGCAUUCACCACA
rnacentral:ncRNA from 2 species